AUUGAACGCUGGCGGAAUGCUUUACACAUGCAAGUCGGGCGGCAGCGCGGGGGCAACCCUGGCGGCGAGCGGCGAACGGGUGAGUAACACAUCGGAACGUACCCUGUCGUGGGGGAUAACGAAUCGAAAGAUUCGCUAAUACCGCAUACGACCUGAGGGUGAAAGCGGGGGAUCGCAAGACCUCGCGCGAGAGGAGCGGCCGAUGGCGGAUUAGCUAGUUGGUGGGGUAAAGGCCCACCAAGGCGACGAUCCGUAGCGGGUCUGAGAGGACGGCCCGCCACACUGGGACUGAGACACGGCCCAGACUCCUACGGGAGGCAGCAGUGGGGAAUUUUGGACAAUGGGGGCAACCCUGAUCCAGCCAUUCCGCGUGAGUGAAGAAGGCCUUCGGGUUGUAAAGCUCUUUCGGCAGGAACGAAACGGCGGGCUCUAACAUAGCCUGUCAAUGACGGUACCUGAAGAAGAAGCACCGGCUAACUACGUG
rnacentral:rRNA from 1 species